rnacentral:rRNA from 1 species
UACGUAGGGGGCAAGCGUUGUCCGGAUUUAUUGGGCGUAAAGAGCGUGUAGGCGGCUAGGUAGGUCCGUUGUGAAAACUCGAGGCUCAACCUCGAGACGCCGAUGGAAACCAUCUGGCUAGAGUCCGGAAGAGGAGAGUGGAAUUCCUGGUGUAGCGGUGAAAUGCGCAGAUAUCAGGAAGAACACCCGUGGCUAAGGCGGCUCUCUAAUACGGUACUGACGCUGAGACGCGAAAGCGUGGGGAGCAAACAGG